GGGCCUUGUCUUGGGGGUAGAGCAUCUGCUUUGCAGAAGGAUCCGGGUUCAAUUCCUGGCAUCUCCA